rnacentral:snRNA from 1 species
AGCUUUGCGCAGUGGCAGUAUCGUAGUCAAUGAGGUUUAUCCGAGGCGUGAUUAUUGCUAAUUGAAAGAGUUAAAAGAUUAGUGGUUGCCAGGGAUUUGGAGGAUGGGAGGAAAGUUGACUAGCUGAAGCACUGGGAAUUCUUAGGGUAGUAAAAAUAUU